UACGUAGGGAGCAAGCGUUGUCCGGAAUCAUUGGGCGUAAAGCGCGUGUAGGCGGCCCGGUAAGUCCGCUGUGAAAGUCGGGGGCUCAACCCUCGGAUGCCGGUGGAUACUGUCGGGCUCGAGUACGGAAGAGGCGAGUGGAAUUCCUGGUGUAGCGGUGAAAUGCGCAGAUAUCAGGAGGAACACCAAUUGCGAAGGCAGCUCGCUGGGACGUCACUGACGCUGAGACGCGAAGCGUGGGGAGCAAACAGG
rnacentral:rRNA from 1 species